UAGCUAUUUAUGCACUUCACAGCAGCUUUCCACCCUGGAAGGAAGCAGUCAAGAAACAUGGUGUAAACCCUAGCAAAUCUAAGCAAAUAAGGAACAGACUUCAUUAUCCCCAGACAGAAAUGAUUAAUAGCUAAAAUGUAAUAAGAAGCCAAGAAGAAGAAAAAAUCAAACAAGACAUGGGAUGACACUGGGGGCUGCAGAGGAAUAAGAAAGGAAGAAAAUUCUAUUGCAUAAGCGGUUGAAAAAAAUCCCUAACAUAUACGGUAUGUGGAUAUGUUUAGAUUGUUUGCAAAGAAUGUUUUAUUCAAAAUGUUGG
rnacentral:lncRNA from 11 species